AGAUAAUGGUUAACAGAGACAAACGGGGGCAUUUGUAUUGCGGCGUGAGAGGUGAAAUUCUUGGACCGCCGCAAGACAAACUACAGCGAAAGCACUUGCCAAGAAUGUCUUCAUUAAUCAAGAACGAAAGUCAGAGGAUCGAAGGCGAUCAGAUACCGCCCUAGUUCUGACCGUAAACGAUGCCAACUCGCGAUCCGCCGGCGGAGCAUUUCGCCCUGGUGGGGAGCGUCCCGGAAACGAAAGUCUUCCGGUUCCGGGGGAAGUAUGGUUGCAAAGCUGAAACUUAAAGGAAUUGACGGAAGGGCACCACCAGGAGUGGAGCCUGCGGCUUAAUUUGACUCAACGCGAGGAACCUCACCCGGCCCGGACACCGUAAGGAUUGACCGAUCGACAGCUCAUUCAUGAUUCGGUGGUUGGUGGUGCAUGGCCGUUCUUAGUUCGUGGAUUUGAUCUGUCUGCUUUAUUGCGAUAACCGAGCGAGACCCACGCCUGCUAACUAGUCCGUGCAUUGCCAUUGUGCACGCCGACUUCUUAGAGGGAUUCGCGGUGUUCAGCCGUUUGAAAGUGGGCAAUAACAGGUCUGUGAUGCCCUUAGAUGUCCGGGGCUGCACGCGGGCUACACUGGCAAAACCAGCGUGCCUGUCCUGCCUCGAAGGAGGUGGGUAAACCCGGCAAAAUUUGCCGUGAUUGGGAUCGGAGAUUGCAAUUAUUUUCCGUGAACGAGGAAUUCCAAGUAAGUGCGAGUCAUCAGCUCGCGUUGAUUACGUCCCUGCCCUUUGUACACACCGCCCGUCGCUGCCCGGGACUGAGCCGAUUCGAGAAAUCCGGGGAUCGCCGGUCUGAUGUCUUCGGGCGUCUCUCUGGUGAGAACCGGCUUAAUCGCAUCAGUUUGAACCGGGCAAAAGUCGUAACAAGGUUGCUGUAGGUGAACCUGCUGCAGGAUCAUUACUUACAAGUGAACCUAUCCAAUACGAUUCCGUCCUUUGGUGGGCAGUGCCCCUCAGGCAUUGGCGAAACCCAUCAAAUGUGACGCGAACGGCUGGGUUGGCGUCUGUGAGUCGUGGAGCAGUUGUAGUCCAUGUCCGUGGCUGCGAUGAUGCGACUCGGUAGGGCUGUCAUCGCCUUUGGCAGCUUAAGACUUGAUGAGCGCAGACCAAGCGCCGCCAACAACCAUUUUUUUCCAAUAAACUUUUUCAAAUGCCAUUCAAGGCAAACAAGAAUUCUAGCCUUAUCGGUGGAUCACUCGGCUCGUA
rnacentral:rRNA from 1 species